rnacentral:rRNA from 1 species
UACGAGUGCCCCGAGCGUUAUCCGGAAUCAUUGGGCGUAAAGGGUGUGUAGGUGGUUUGUUAAGUCUGAUGUGAAAGCCCUGGGCUCAACCUGGGAAUUGCAUUGGAUACUGGCAGGCUAGAGUGCGGUAGAGGGUAGUGGAAUUCCCGGUGUAGCAGUGAAAUGCGUAGAUAUCUGGAGGAAUACCGGUGGCGAAGGCGGCAUCCUGGACCGGCAUUGACGCUGAGGAGCGAAAGCCAGGGGAGCAAACGGG